rnacentral:rRNA from 1 species
CCAUGCCGCGUGUGUGAAGAAGGCCUUCGGGUUGUAAAGCACUUUCAGUAGGGAGGAAGGUAGUGUAGUUAACACCUGCACUAUUUCGACGUUACCUACAGAAGAAGCACCGGCUAACUCCGUGCCAGCAGCCGCGGUAAUACGGAGGGUGCGAGCGUUAAUCGGAAUUACUGGGCGUAAAGCGCAUGCAGGCGGCCUGUUAAGUCAGAUGUGAAAGCCCGGGGCUUAACCUCGGAAUUGCAUUUGAAACUGGCAGGCUAGAGUCUUGUAGAGGGGGUAGAAUUUCAGGUGUAGCGGUGAAAAUGCGUAGAGAUCUGAAGGAAUACCAGUGGCGAAGGCGGCCCCCUGGACAAAGACUGACGCUCAGAUGCGAAAGCGUCGGGGAGCAAACAGGAUUAGAUACCCUGGUAG